rnacentral:rRNA from 1 species
CCUACGGGGGGCAGCAGUGAGGAAUAUUGGUCAAUGGCCGGAAGGCUGAACCAGACAAGCCGCGUGAAGGACGAAGGUGCCCAGCAUUGUAAACUUCUUUUGUCAAGGGACAAAAUCAGGCUCGAGAGCCUGACCGAGGGUACUUGAAGAAAAAGCAUCGGCUAACUCCGUGCAGGCAGCCGCGGUAAUACGGAGGAUGCGAGCGUUAUCCGGUUUUAUUGGGUUUAAAGGGUGCGUGGGGGGGCUGUUAAGUCAGCGGUAAAAGCCCGGGGCUAAACCCGGGCGAGCCGUGGAAACUGGUUGUCUGGAGAUGACGAGAGGUAGGCGGAAUGCGCAGUGUAGCGGUGAAAUGCGUAGAUAUUACGCAGAACACCGAUUGCGAAGGCAGCAUACCGG